CCACCCCAUCGCUCUCUCUCUCACUCUCUCUCAUUCUCCAUCCCAUCCAGAUCCCGCCGCCCCAACCCUCUCACCCUUCCCAUCCACAGGGAGCCCCGCCUUUUCCCGGCGAGUCGCACCGCCCCAACCCUCUCCCACCCUCAUCUCGUAGCUCCCCUUCCCUUCAUCAUGCUCGGGCUCCCUCCCUCUUCUGCGGCCUGGACCCAUGUGCUUGGCGGAGCCGUGGCGGGGGAGCUUUACCGGCUACGUCGUCGUGGGUUCACCGGAGUGAAACGCCGGACUUUUUCGGGAGAAGACGCUGUUGCGACGCCUCUCUGCCAUCACCGGUGCUGCCAUUUUCGUCGGGCGUCGUGUGCGACCCACAACAUUGGGGACACACCAGUUUCGUCGGUCGAUUCAGACCCAACUCCAUCCCCGCUUCUUCCCUCGAGCCAGCGAUAGCUGUUCUAUUCCAUCCCCGUUUAAUUUUGAGUACUGGAGUCCAAGGCGAGCGCAACUAUGGCAGGGAAUGAGUUUGAGUAGGUGCGUGGGAUGAAUCCAUCAAUUAUUGUAUUUGGCCUGCUCUCCCAAGCUGCUGCCUCGAGGUCGCCAUACUUCGCAAAAAUCAUGACGGUGCUGCGUUGUGCUCACCAUGCCCAGAAAUUGGGGGUCACGAGGAGGAAGACAAUGGCACGCACGAGGAAAUUAGAGACGGCGGUGGCACCAAACAUUACUUGAGCCUGAUCGUUUUUUUUUUGCUAGCUUAGCGUUUUGCUUUCAUAGGUUUGGAGCUCUAAAUUUAAGCUUUUCGUCUGAAUCUUCAUUUGAUCCACAGGCUUCUGAUCGUUCUGAACAAAUGCUUCAACUCUUUGUUGUUUCAUUUGAUUUUUGGAAGUUCAUUAGAUUUUGGUAAGUUGUUUGAUUUCCCUUAAUCGAUUUCUGAAUCUCCUCCCUUCUUUAGUGGAGCUCCCUGCAAGUGUUAUUUUAAUUCAUGGUUAAAUUCUAUUUUGGUGUUGGCUGUUGAGAAUAUCAGAUGAGACAAGCAAUGGAAUGGACUGUGUGGACAAUCACAGGAAUGGUGUUCCGUGGAUAGGUCAUGUGUUGGAGAGGGAACGACACGUUGCAGCAGCGAGAGGUCUUGCCUCUUUUCUGCUGUUCUUGCUUCUCCCCUAUGAUUUUUUAGUUGGUUGUCUUGGAGAGGAAACGACAAGCUGCAGCAGCCAGAGUAGUAGGAGAAGCAGCUUCAACUCCCACGGCAUGUUCUACAUUUUUCUGCACUGAUGUAUUUGUUAUGGUCCAACUGAAUUAGUUUUGACUGCAUCUUAUUCUCUGUAGUCUCUGAGAUUUGUUCUCUAGUUCAAACUGUGCGUCAACUGUUCAAAUGAAUGUCUUAAUUAAAAGAACACUGUUUGAUGGAAUGCCAGAAAAGAAUGCACGUCUUUUUCCUGGCUAAAAAUUCGUUCAGAGUGUUCUGUUUUUUCUAUCUGGUAAAUUUCAUUGGCCUCAGAGUUGAUUCCCUCUUUUAAUUCAUUUGGUGUGGUUUUCUAAAUGAAGAAGCAGAACCAUUUUGGUUGUUAUUCACUACUGCUCCUCAUGGUCCAUUCCCUUGGAUUUGGAAAGCGGAUUUGAUGUUGGAUUUGUUGAAAUAGCCACUGGCGAGGCAGUGCUUGAUUUCGUGAACAUCAACACUUUUUUUCAUACUGAGAACUUGGCAACAUCAGCAUGAGUUCUUCCCUUAACUUCUCUUUCUUUCCAAUGGACUUCUUAUUGCGGCUAUUAUGGACAAUGAGAGGGCUUCUGCGAUUUUCUGUUCGUGAGUUUGGAGAUCAGUUCCCCACGACCCGCACCAUGGAUCGGUAAUGGAUUUUUUUUGUUGCAGGUCUAUUUUUCUGAACCUCUCUUUUUAUCUCAGAGCUUUUUAAUUUGUUUGUGAGCUUGAGGAGGCUCAGCAAUUAGUAUCAGCACCUCACCACUUCCGCGCGUCCGCUGCAGUCAAGGUGUUUGACCUCCACCUCCCCCGCCUGAUACAGGGCUCGAUGCUGCUAUAAAAUCCCGUGCGAAAUUUUCGAUUCAUGGAGCUAGCUACAACCGAACCAGGUGAUGAAAAGCACCUGAUGAUCCCACUCCGGCGCCUGGUAACUAGGCUCACUAGGAUAGCCCCCAUGGAGACGUCUUGGCAGUUGCGGCCAGCAUUUGUUUGUGUUGAUGCCUGAAUGAAAACAACAUGGUGUAGUGUUGCAUAUGAUCAUUUAGUUUUGCUUUCCUUUUUCCAAUCUUGUGUGAAUUGUAUAGCUGUUUCUCAAGAACUCGUAACUUCUGUUGUUGGGAAUUUUAGGGAGAUGUAAAUCUGAAUAAAUAGGAGUAUUAAGUGAAACACAUGUUGAAUUUGACCUCUUUUGUCAUAUAGUUUGCUUCCUUUUUUCCAAUCUUACAUGAAUUUUGUUGUCUAACAGAUGGGCUCUGAGUUUGGACUUGGGCAUGGCCGCCGUGCAGUCCGCCACCGCUGUCUCCCCCUCUGCGUCAGCAUCCCGUCUCCUGCAGGACCAUGGCCUCCGCAGCGCCGGCGUCAUCGAGCACAGCAAUGCCGACGCCACUGGGGCGUGUAGUAUACUGGAGGCUCUGUGUCAUACGAGUAGAUCAUCCAAGAUGGUUCCCACUUGCACAUCAAUGUUCACAAGUACUUGCAGUACUAGUUUGUUUUAGGCUGCUGCUGUAAUCAACUAUGUGCUUCCUAGUCAUUUUCUGCAUCGUAUUGAACAUUAUUUAGUUUAAUGUAUGGCAUGAAACUAUUUUCACCAGCCUUGUUGCCUUCCACAUUGCAGUUAUCUUUAACCCUGGUUGAAUGGCUUGA